AUUGAACGCUGGCGGCAGGCCUAACACAUGCAAGUCGAACGGUAACAGGAAGACGCUUGCUUCUUUGCUGACGAGUGGCGGACGGGUGAGUAAUGUCUGGGAAACUGCCUGAUGGAGGGGGAUAACUACUGGAAACGGUAGCUAAUACCGCAUAACGUCGCAAGACCAAAGAGGGGGACCUUCGGGCCUCUUGCCCUCGGAUGUGCCCAGAUGGGAUUAGCUAGUAGGUGGGGUAACGGCUCACCUAGGCGACGAUCCCUAGCUGGUCUGAGAGGAUGACCAGCCACACUGGAACUGAGACACGGUCCAGACUCCUACGGGAGGCAGCAGUGGGGAAUAUUGCACAAUGGGCGCAAGCCUGAUGCAGCCAUGCCGCGUGUAUGAAGAAGGCCUUCGGGUUGUAAAGUACUUUCAGCGGGGAGGAAGGGAGUAAAGUUAAUACCUUUGCUCAUUGACGUUACCCGCAGAAGAAGCACCGGCUAACUCCGUG
rnacentral:rRNA from 1 species